rnacentral:misc_RNA from 1 species
GGUGUUGGAGUUCUUGAGGACGGAUUUGGCGGCGGUGAUUAAGGAGGGGAAGAAGAAUGGAGGGGCUGGGGUUAGUGUUGGGGAGGUGAAGAGGUGGAUGGUGCAGAUAUUGUGUGGAGUGGACGCUUGCCACAGAAAUAUGAUCGUGCAUCGGGAUUUGAAACCGGGUAAUUUGUUGAUUUCUGAUGAUGGGUUUCUCAAGUUGGCUGAUUUUGGCCAGGCA